rnacentral:lncRNA from 1 species
CAUCGGUCCUGUGGAACACUGCACAGAGAUGAGGAAAUCAAGGCGGAGAAAAGUUGGAGAAUGUGUCCAAAGUCACACCGCCGGCAGCCAAAAGAGCCCGGGGGCUCACUCACAGAAGACACAGCCAACAGCGAUUGCUCUGGGAGAGAGGACCGGGGAAAAGUUAGUGCUGUUCACCGUACACGUUGCGCGCUAGUUGGAAUGGCUUUCACCACGUGCAAGCACUGCUUUUGCAAAUGCAUGAUUCUAAACAAUGCUCACCAACCCAGCCUUCAGUACAGUCCUAAAGUAACAGCCCAGAAACACACACUUCA